GACGAACGCUGGCGGCGUGCUUAACACAUGCAAGUCGAACGGAAAGGCCCUGCUUUUGUGGGGUGCUCGAGUGGCGAACGGGUGUGAAACACGUGUGUAACCUCCUCCUGACUUUGGGAUAACUUCAGGAAACUGGGGAUAAUACCGGAUAGGAGCUCCUGCUGCAGGGUGGGGGUUGGAAAGUUUCGGCGGUUGGGGACGGACUCGCGGCUUGUCAGCUGGUUGGUGGGGUAGUGGCCUACCAAGGCAUUGACGGGUGGCCGGCCUGGGGGGGUGACCGGCCACAUUGGGCUUGGGAUACGGCCCAGACUCCUACGGGAGGCGGCAGUGGGGAAUAUGGCACAAGGGGCGGAGGCCUGAUGCAGCAACGCGGCGUGCGGGAUGACGGCCUUCGGGUUGUAAACCGCUUUCGCCUGUGACGAAGCGUGAGUGACGGUAAUGGGUAAAGAAGCACCGGCUAACUACGUG
rnacentral:rRNA from 1 species